rnacentral:rRNA from 1 species
GAUCAUGGCUCAGAACGAACGCUGGCGGCGCGUUUAAGCAUGCAAGUCGAGCGGCAAGGGCCUUCGGGCCCCUAGAGCGGCGGACGGGUGAGUAACACGUGGACAAUCUGCCCCCCGGCCCGGGAUAGCCCAGGGAAACCUGGAUUAAUACCGGAUGAGACGGGACCCGCGAUGGCGGGACCCGGGAAAGGCGCUGCGGCGCCGCCGGGGGAUGAGUCUGCGUCCCAUUAGCUAGACGGCGGGGUAACGGCCCACCGUGGCGACGAUGGGUAGCCGGCCUGAGAGGGUGGACGGCCACAUUGGAACUGAGACACGGUCCAGACUCCUACGGGAGGCAGCAGCUAAGAAUCUUCCGCAAUGGGCGAAAGCCUGACGGAGCGACGCCGCGUGAACGAAGAAGGCCGUGAGGUUGCAAAGUUCUUUUCGGGAGGGGGAACAACCGUGGCAGGGAAUGGCCGCGGGAUGACGUGAAUCCCGGAAUAAGCCCCGGCUAACUACGUGCCAGCAGCGGC